UGGGGAAUAUUGCACAAUGGGGGAAACCCUGAUGCAGCGACGCCGCGUGAGCGAAGAAGGUUUUCGAAUCGUAAAGCUCUGUCCUAUGGGAAGAUAAUGACGGUACCAUAGGAGGAAGCCCCGGCUAACUACGUGCCAGCAGCCGCGGUAAUACGUAGGGGGCAAGCGUUGUCCGGAAUCACUGGGCGUAAAGGGUUCGCAGGCGGAAAUGCAAGUCAGUUGUGAAAGGCAGAGGCUCAACCUCUGUAAGCAAUUGAAACUGUAUUUCUUGAGAUGUGGAGAGGCAAGUGGAAUUCCUAGUGUAGCGGUGAAAUGCGUAGAUAUUAGGAAGAAUACCGGUGGCGAAGGCGACUUGCUGGACACAAACUGACGCUGAGGAACGUAAGCGUGGGUAGCAAACAGG
rnacentral:rRNA from 1 species